rnacentral:rRNA from 1 species
UACAGAGGGGGCAAGCGUUGUUCGGAAUUACUGGGCGUAAAGGGCGCGUAGGCGGCCUGUUAAGUCGAACGUGAAAUCCCCGGGCUCAACCCGGGAACUGCGUCCGAAACUGGCAGGCUUGAAUCCGGGAGAGGGAUGUGGAAUUCCAGGUGUAGCGGUGAAAUGCGUAGAUAUCGGGAGGAAUACCAGUGGCGAAGGCGGCUUUCUGGGCCUAUCCUGACGCUGAGGAGCGAAAGCGUGGGGAGCAAACCGG